UCAGCUCAGUGGCAGAGCAUCUGCUCUGCACGCUGAGAUCCCAGGUUCAAUCCCCAGCAUCUCAG